CCCUCCAGACCUCGCCUUUUCUAUCUCCUUUUUUUCUGGCGCGUGCUCUCUUCCAGGUUUGGGACCCUCUCGCUGGACGAGAUUCCCGGGCUCACGUUCAGUUCACAACAUAACCACUGGGCUUGGAAGAGGAUGCUGAACCCUAGACCUGAAUGUCCACCUGAACAUCCCACCGGCACCUCCAAAUCAACAUGCCCAAAGUGGGUGAGAACAGGGCAAUAGUGACGUGGAUGGAUUGUGGAAAUGUUUAGCAGGGUUGUGUUUGCUCCAGGCAUUUGGCAUUGGGCCUGCACUGGAUAAAAGCAAGCAGCUCCAGCGUCUGGGGCUGCCUCUCUGGCCACUAGAGCCAGGCAUUCCCCUCGCUGCUCUUACACUGCAUGCCCGGGGCUUCAUGGCUGGGCGAAGUGUGGAUUGCCUGACCUCAGGAGUUCGAGACCAACCUAGACAACAUGGUGAAACUCCAUCUCUACUAAAAUACAAAAAAUUAGCCGAAAGUGGUCAUGCGCCUGUGAUCCCAGCUGCUCAGGAUGCUGAGGCAGGAGAAUCGCUUGAACCUGGGAGACAGAGGUUGCAGUGAGCCGAGAUUGGGCCCCUGCACUCCAGCCUGGGCGACAGAGCAAGACUCCA